rnacentral:rRNA from 1 species
AUUGAACGCUGGCGGCAGGCCUAACACAUGCAAGUCGAACGAGUGGCGGACGGGUGAAUAAUGUCUGGGAAACUGCCUGAUGGAGGGGGAUCACUAAUGGACCAGGUAGCUAAUACCGCAUACCCUCAGAUGUCCCCAGAUGGGAUUAGCUUGUUGGUGGGGUAACGGCUCACCAAGGCGACGAUCCCUAGGUGGUCUGAGAGGAUGACCAGCCACACUGGAACUGAGACACGGUCCAGACUCCUACGUGAGGCAGCAGUGGGGAAUAUUUCACAAUGGGCGAAAGCCUGAUGCAGCCAUGCCGCGUGUAUGAAGAAGGUCUUCGGGUUGUAAAGUACUUUCAGCUGGGAGGCGUUACCCGAAGAAGAAGCACCGGCUAACUCCGUGCCAGCAGCCGCGGUAAUAC